UACGUAGGUCCCGAGCGUUGUCCGGAUUUAUUGGGCGUAAAGCGAGCGCAGGUGGUUUAUUAAGUCUAGUGUAAAAGGCAGUGGCUCAACCAUUGUAUGCAUUGGAAACUGGUAGACUUGAGUGCAGGAGAGGAGAGUGGAAUUCCACGUGUAGCGGUGAAAUGCGUAGAUAUAUGGAGGAACACCGGUGGCGAAAGCGGCUCUCUGGCCUGUAACUGACGCUGAGGCUCGAAAGCGUGGGGAGCAAACAGG
rnacentral:rRNA from 1 species